ensembl:lncRNA
GGCCUUCCCAUUUCACAGGUGUGGAAGCCUCAGAAAGGUGAAGCCCACCGCCACUCAGCUAGGAAGUGGAGGAGCUGGGUUUGAAACCUACAAGGCUGUGCUCUUGAUCACUGGGCUCUCUUGCUUCCUAAGGUUUGCUUGGGAAGUGCCCUUCAUCUUUCUGGAGCAUCUAACUCCCAGUGUCCUUGAGGAACUUGCUUACCUUCUCCAGGCCUCAGUUUCCUUAUCUAUAAAAUGAUGACCUGGAUAUUCCCUUCAGAGUGUGGUUACUGGAAAACUGAGGCUCAAAGAGGGUAAGCACAUUGGCUCAAGGUCACCAAGCUGAGCGACUCUCAAGUCUUAGCUUUUUGCCAUUCAGAUUGGAAUAGAGUGGAACUGAAGACACCAGUUGGUUUUAUCAAAGUCCUGGUGUGUGAGGAUAAGGAAAAACAGCAAAGAUGGUGGAUCCAAAGUAACUAGCCCAUUUGUUAACAUUUAUUCACAUUUCACCAUUUCUAAACCUUCCUGCCAGGAGGUCACACAUUGCAUUCAUGUUUUGUUUUGUUUUUUACCUUGAACGUAAACUAUUGUGU